rnacentral:sRNA from 10 species
AAAGUUGGAUUAAUUGGUGACUAAAGAUUCCCAACAAGACGGGGGAGAAAUUACCCCCACACGAUAUUCAAGAUCACUGCAUCGGUAGAAUAUCGUGACCGAAGGU